UACGGAGGGGGCUAGCGUUGUUCGGAAUUACUGGGCGUAAAGCGCACGUAGGCGGAUCAGUUAGUCAGGGGUGAAAUCCUGGAGCUCAACUCCAGAACUGCCUUUGAUACUGAGAAGCUUGAGUCCGGGAGAGGUGAGUGGAACUGCGAGUGUAGAGGUGAAAUUCGUAGAUAUUCGCAAGAACACCAGUGGCGAAGGCGGCUCACUGGCCCGGUACUGACGCUGAGGUGCGAAAGCGUGGGGAGCAAACAGG
rnacentral:rRNA from 1 species